CAAGAUUCUCACUUAUUCCAAUAUUUCUUUUCCAAUACCACACUAACACAUCUGGGAAGAUAGCCUGGAAUUCCAUGAAAUCAGUACAGUGUCCUCAACACCAAAUGCAAACAGCUGCUGCACUGAGAGCAAGUUUGUUUCAGAUAUGCCAUGCUCCUUUCUGCAGGCUGUCUGACUGACACCUUGAAAGACAGAUCAAAUGACCACGGAGGAGACACAUUUUUGGACUUCUGCUACAUUCUUUCAGUAUCUUGCAUUGGAUCCAGUCCAGGUACGAUUUGCCCCAGCCUGCCUUCUACAUACAGAUACCCUCACGCGUGGAUGUGAGGCUGGAGCAGCAGGUACUUCUGCUCGUCUCUGGGAAGGCAAAGCAUGUGGUUUCCCAAGGUAUUUGCUAGAAAGCAAACCAUCAAAAGCAC
rnacentral:lncRNA from 1 species